rnacentral:rRNA from 1 species
UGCAGUCGAGCGCACCCUUCGGGGCGAGCGGCGGACGGGUUAGUAACGCGUGGGAACAUACCCUUUUCUAUGGAAUAGCCUUUGGAAACGAAGAGUAAUACCAUAUACGCCCUUCGGGGGAAAGAUUUAUCGGAGAAGGAUUGGCCCGCGUAAGAUUAGAUAGUUGGUGGGGUAAUGGCCUACCAAGUCUACGAUCUUUAGCUGGUUUUAGAGGAUGAUCAGCAACACUGGGACUGAGACACGGCCCAGACUCCUACGGGAGGCAGCAGUGGGGAAUCUUAGACAAUGGGCGCAAGCCUGAUCUAGCCAUGCCGCGUGUGUGAUGAAGGCCUUAGGGUCGUAAAGCACUUUCGCCAGAGAUGAUAAUGACAGUAUCUGGUAAAGAAACCCCGGCUAACUCCGUGCCAGCAGCCGCGGUAAUACGGAGGGGGUUAGCGUUGUUCGGAAUUACUGGGCGUAAAGCGUACGUAGGCGGAUCAGAAAGUAGGGGGUGAAAUCCCGAGGCUCAACCUCGGAACUGCCUCCUAAACUCCUGGUCUUGAGUUCGAGAGAGGUGAGUGGAAUUCCAAGUGUAGAGGUGAAAUUCGUAGAUAUUUGGAGGAACACCAGUGGCGAAGGCGGCUCACU